UGCUAGGAUUUGCGUUUUGGGUUUGUCAACGCUUUGCUUGUUGCAACAUGGAAGUCCGUCAGACGUCCGAAAUGUUGCCAAGGACACACUUGGAUAUAGUUAAUGUUUAUCAAGAGGCUAAUGUUCACCACUAAAUCUAAGGAAAGGUUGUAAACCGGCAAACACAUUCUCUUCCACGGAUAAAGUGGCAUGGACCAAGAACAAAACCCACAAUGAACCUGAACGGGAUUAUCAUCAUCACUUUGUCUUGAGGUCUGUAUACGACGCUAGGCUAUAUAUUGGGAAAGGGUAAUGGAAGGAGCGCGGACGAUGGGACACAUGUACCUAAUGUAUUUGGCAACAUUUGGCAUCUUCUACAUAAAUAUGUUCCAGGUCUGUCGCUCCAGAUACUACAACGAGAACCAACGGAUUUGAAUUAUGAGGGAUCCCACCUAAAUGUUAGGAGGAAUUUCUUUAAAGAGCUGCCUCAAGAUUGCUUCGGAGGGUAAUCGAUGCUCCCGCUUUGGAGGUCUCUAAGCACAGGUUGGAUGGGCACCUUUCAAGAUUGUGCAUUCCUACAUGGCAAAGGGUUCGACUAGAUGACCCUUUAGCUAGGCAUGUGUAAAAAGGUCCACAAUUCUGUCUUCAAUGGGAUUCUGCCAAAAGCCACAACAGUCGAGUGUGAUUUGAAGCAGAAUGUAAGUCAAAAACAUUCUUGCCAUUCUUAGGAUAUCACCUGGUGCAGAGAAAGCAGGAGACAAUAUCAAUGGCCUGUAUUCUCUGUCAGCUACUUAGGGACAUGGAAGAUGUCGUCCUCCGGAUUUUGUUGGACUGCAGAUCCCAUCAUCCCUCAUCUCUAGGUAGGCCAGAUCGAACUGAUGGGAACUAAAGUCAAUGACAUCCAAAGGGCUGCACAUUCCUCGUUACCACUCUCCUGCUUAUGCUAGAAAUAUACAUUCAUACACAGGGCCAGUUCAUAUGACCAUGUUGAAUAACUUGUAUUUCUGUUAGGGACGGUAUCUCAGUUUUUUCUGAUUCUCAACAGACAUCGAAAAUAUUUUGUCCCAUAGCUUUGGGACACCUAGGAAUCCCUCUUCCAUAGACACAAACUGUGCAGCCUUUCUAGAAACGUUGCACAGUUUGCCCAGAAAUCUGCAUAGCUUUCCCGAAACUUCACAGCAUUUGGCAUAGAAACAGAAAAAACGCGCAGCUUUCCACACGGAAAGGAAAUUGUGGAAUAUUCAAACUGGCAAAUGCUGAAGCUUCAGUUGGCUCAGGUUUCUUUCCCUGCUGUGUACCAAACUGGUUUGUCCAAAAUUCAGUUCAACCGGUAAAGAAUACAGCUCUUUUCUUUUCUUGGUACGUAACAUUUGGUGUGCGCAACGUUCAGACUGGCAAAGGGUGAAGCCACUAUAUCAAACCCUUCUCCAUAGUAUUUGCACUUUUCCCAAGUAAGCCUUGAAACAAAACCUAAGUGGAUGGUCCCUGCCCCCAGAAAGCAAUGCAGUUUUCUGUGCAUAGUGAAAAAAACUGUGAGCAUAGAGGGUUUUUUUUUACAGCAAAAUGGCACAGUUUUUAAAACCCCUGUGCAGUUUCCAAAACCGUGUAGUUUAUUUUGUGAAUAACAAACAACCACACAUGUUUUGUGAAGGGUUAGGAAACCCAAAUUCAACCCAAAUUGGAAAACUGACGAAUUCUCGUAUCCUCCCUAGACUGUGUGCAGACAAGUAUAUGCAUGUCCUCUAACUGGAACUAAGAAUAGGAUUUAGGCCCCCAUUUCUGAGCAUUCCCAUUCCAACAUAUGAACAGGCCCUCAUUUGCACCAAGUCUGACCCGGCAACCAUUCAUUUCAGAGUAGUGCAAAACCAAAACAUUUUAUCCAUUCUGGUAAUGCUUCUGUACCGAAGCAAAAAAAUAAAUAAAUCACAACCUUCUGUGAUUGGUGUUGAUGGAAACGGAGAAUGACUUAAUGUGCUUAAAACCUGGAACGUACAUUUUUGUUUUGGCGGCAGAGUAUCCUAAAAUAGCAGGAGUGGGGAAAUUUUGAGCCUCCAGAUAUUUUGGACAACAUCUCCCAUAACCCCUUCUAAGUGACCUUGCUGGCUGGUGCCUCUGUGAGUUGAAUUCCAGGACAUUGAGAAGGUCAAACAAACACCCCACCUUUGCAAUAGACAACUAUAAGUUGUGGCAUGACAACAUUUUUGAGCUUAAAGGAGGGUGCAUUUCAGUUACCAACCGGUAUCUCCUCUGUCAGUUGCAGAUAAACCCCUACUUUAUGACACAUCCUCCUGUGUCACAUUUGUGAACAUAAUUGUUAGCGAUGCUCCUGUUCCCAAAAUCCUGACUUGUCCCUUUUUAGCUGCCUGCACAGCAAAACUCUCCAUCCUAUAAAGCAAUGGCUAAAAAAUGAUUUAUUUGCAAGUGACUCCAAGCUAAGGGACAUGAAAAUUAGAUUAGUAUUAGUAUUUCGUUCUUUUAUUCAUUCGCUCGUUCGUUCUCUUUCUUUCUGGACUGUAAUUCCUCAAAUCUCCCAACCAGCACUGACCAUGGUUAUGGUGGUUGGGGGAUGCUGGGAGGCAUAGUCCAAAAUAAUUCCUUUCCAAGCUCUUGUUUCUUCCUUGCUGGCAUAAAUCGAAAACGAGAUAUGAGUCCCCAAAACUCUCAUGGAAAGUAUAGUUUGUGCAGACUUCUUGGUGAUGGGUUGUGUAUUACAUCAAGAGAUAAUGGGCACUGACGCAACCACAGACAUGUUACAUGUAUCUAUUAAAAUCAAGAAACCAGGUCCUGAAGAAGGGAAGGGAGAGCACACAAACGCUGCGAUCCUGUACUCAUUUCCCUGGGAGUAAGCCCCAUUGGGCUUAGUGGGAUUGAUUUCCGAGUAGACAUGGAUAGGGUCGUGUUAUAAAUACUUCACCCUUGUGAACUAUUUCCGAAUGAGAGUUUGACACUGGGAACGCUGCUUCCAAACGUUGAACGCAGCCAUCCCAGAACUAAAAAUCCUCACCGUCUCCCAAAGAGUUUAAACAAACUAUAUUAAAAUACCAUCUUCUGUCACAUUUAAAGGCAGUUGGAUAUGUUUCCCCCCCCUCUAUAUUUAUAUAUACACAGAGUUCUGAUCUAGAAAAACCAAUACAAUAAACUUUUACUUAAUGUUUUUUUUGUUUUGUUUUCCUUUUGUUAAAAACAGGCAGUCUUUGGUGAUGCAAAGGCAGAGAUUGCGCGUCUGUUUGUCUGUUACCUCCUGCCUAUUUCGCUCUGUCUCAUGAAGUGAAUGUUGUUGGCACUGUCAGAGAGUUCCAGAUACUGCUCCACAGAUAAAACAAAAUAUCCGUCGUAGCCCUGUACUUUCCCUGUGCUCAGAAGCUGCUGCUUUUCCCCUUCUGUCCAAACCCUAAUACCUUCUUCUCCAUCUUGGAGACGUCUCUGUUCCCUAGUCCAAGCCUGAGCUACAGCUCUCUGCCUGGCUAUCUCCAAGACAUGGUUCUUCUCUUCUUCUACAGUUGUCCCGUACCGAACGUUGAAGCACAAAGAACCAUGCUGGAGCUGGAUAUCGGCAAACCUUCUAGUCCUCCCAUUGAUGACAGAAGUCAUUUGAGACACAGUGACGUUGACGCCAUUCUCCAAAAUCCGUCGUCCCCCGGUGUUGCCUAUCACCGCCAGGUCCUCCUCCAAAGACCCAAGCUUGAUGAAGUAGUGCACCAGUUUCGUCAGUGGAUCAUACAGUCCUCCAUGAAAACCAAUGACGACUUCGAAAUCUGAAUUAGUGUCCUGAUAGAUCUCCCCAUAAGGCGUGUACAGAAUCUCCUUUAUCACUUGGCCUCGGCUACUGA